AGGUUACUGCUAUCGAGGUUCGACUAAGCCAUGCGAGUCGAAUGUAGCAAUACAUGGCGUACUGCUCAGUAACACGUGGACAACCUACCCUUGGGACGGGGAUAAACCCGGGAAACUGGGUAUAAUACCCGAUAGAUCAGGGAAGCUGGAAUGCGCCCUGGUUGAAAGCUCCGGUGCCGAAGGAUGGGUCUGCGGCCUAUCAGGUAGUAGUGGGUGUAGCGUACCUACUAGCCUACGACGGGUACGGGUUGUGAGAGCAAGAGCCCGGAGAUGGAUUCUGAGACACGAAUCCAGGCCCUACGGGGUGCAGCAGGCGCGAAAACUUUACAAUGCCGGAAACGGCGAUAAGGGAACCUCGAGUGCCAGGUUACAAAUCUGGCUGUCGUGAUGCCUAAAUCGCAUCGCAUAGCAAGGGCCGGGCAAGACCGGUGCCAGCCGCCGCGGUAACACCGGCGGCUCGAGUGGUAACCGUUAUUAUUGGGUCUAAAGGGUCUGUAGCCGGCCGG
rnacentral:rRNA from 1 species